rnacentral:lncRNA from 1 species
CUAUGAAUAGAGGUAUCUCUCGCCCUUGUAUUCACCUUUGAAUUUGAGUAAUAUUAUGAUGUCAUUUUUGUGUCAUACUACUCAUCUUAGGUCACCAAAAGCUAGAGCAUCCCAUGAGGUUUCCUCUAGCCACAUUCCUUCAAGGUUUUCCUAACCUCUCUUAGAGCACCACCAUCAAACACCACCCUAUCACCAUCCAAGCACCAAAGUCAUGAGCCUUCUCCUCCUAACCCGUCAAAUUUUGAAUCCUUUGUUCCAUCUCACCAUCACGAUAGCUUCUUUUCUAGCUUUAGCCCAACCUAGCAAAGGAGGUUGCUAUCAUUUAGUAAUCAAAGCUUAAGUUACUUUUGUUUUCCUUUGUAUUUCCUAAUCUUGUC